AGCGUAAAGAAUACACCAAAGUGUUUUUCUUCCUUGAAAGUUUAAUGAAUUGAAUUCAUUGGUCAGGAAAGAGAGAAACACAUUUAUCUUCUAAGAAGGUGAAAAAGGGGUUGGGAGGGAGAAUAAGGGGAACGGGAUUUGCUGAAGUGGAAAAGGAAAAGAAGAAAAGAGGAAGGAGAAGGUUUAACGAAUUACAAUACCGACGAGUAAAAACGUCGAAGCUGUUCGACGAACGAGUUCUCCUCUUUCUCUUUCUAUUUUUUCUGUAUGCUCGUGUGCGUUAUGUAUGUAUCUAUAUGUGUCUGUCUAUGUGUGUGCGUGUGUGUGUGUGUGUGUGUCUGUGUUUGUGUGUGUGUAUGUAUGUAUGUGUUUUGCUCGAUCGAUUCUUUAAAAAUCGUGAAAACUUUCUCGUUCAUUAUGGAUUCGCCAACUUAGGGAUUAUCACGAGAGAUAGUUUCUUUAAGGAUCAGGAUAAGGGAUACGCGUGAACAGUAUUGAAGGGUAAUCUGUAUUACAAAGAAAAAGAAAAAGAAAAAGAAAGAAAGAAAGAAAGAAAGAAAGAAAGAAAACGGAAAAGAAAAAAGAGGAGGAAAGAGAGCGGUUGAAAGAGCGGCGAGGAUAAUAGCUCGAUAUGAAUAAAAAUUGAGGGUGAUCUUCGUCAGCACUUGCUGGAAUCGUGAUUAAACUUGUAAAGAGAUGAUGAUCCGUCUUGAACAAGUGAUGUCGGUAUUAGAGUCAAAUUAGAGAUGCGUUAUCUUGAAUAUUUGAAUAUAAUUCUCGACGAUGCCAAGCUUUGGGCACAUACAUUUAUUAUAUAGAAUUAAUUACGCUUCCAACGAUGCUUAUUAAUGUAUUUAUAUAUAAUAAGAUAUUAAUAAUAUAUCAUUAUAUUAAUUAUUGUUUUAUAUCUUUUUGUUUUGUACAUUUCGCGACGAAAAUGUACGUUACGAGAUUUAUUAAAGUAAUGAAACGUUAUUUACAAAGUUGAUAUUAUUUUUUCUUCUUUUUUCUUUUUUUUGUUUCUGUUUUUUUAUUCUUUUUUCUUUUUUUUUUUUUUUUUCUUUUUUUUAUGGAAACAGGAAAAAGAAAACGAAACUGUUAAUCCGUAAUUUCUAUUCAUUUUUCUUCCCUAAUGAAUCAAUAACUUUUCCGAGAGGUUGGACCACGGUUACUAUCUAACGCCUUGUAAACUAUGCAUAUGUAUUUAUACAUAGAUAAUACAAUAUUGUUGCGAUCUAUUGUAAUAACAUUUCGUAUCGAGUUUACUUAAUUCUUCGCGUGAUGCAAGCUGGGAAAUUCGUAAAGCAAUUUCUGCCAUUGUGUAAGCCCUCUUCAUUUUACUAUCUCGCAUGAACGAGCUUAUGCUUCUAACGACCUUACACAGCAUAUAUCGAAUCGACCAUCGACGUUCCACAACAUUUUGCAUUACAAAGAGAAGAGAUAUCAUUGUCGCGUAAUAUUUCGUUAACCGCAAAAUCAUCAUAACGAAAUGAGUUUCGUUAAUGUAGUAGAUUCGACGAAUCGUUUAUAUUUCUUUUUUUAUUAAGUUUUUUCUUUUUCCUUUUUUUUUUUUUUCUUCUUCUUCUUCUUCUCUGAGAACGAAAUAGCACCAAUCAUUAUUAUCUUUUGUGAAAGGUCAAAACGUUUAACUCUUCCUUUUUUCUUUUCUUUAUCUUCUUGAACAAAAUGAACGGCAAUGAAAUUUCGUUAUAAUAAAGUCAUGAAAUGUACUGAUAUAUAGAUUUUUCUAGGUACAUUUUAUUCUGUUUAUUUCUUCUAUUUGUCUUAAAUUGAAUUUAAGAGAGCAUGUACGUGUACCCGUCGCGUGAAACGUGAAAACUUAGAUUGUGACGUAAAUGCAAGACAGUACAUAUAUAGUAAGCUUUAUACACGCUUUAUACACACACACAUAUAAAUACAUAUAUGUAUAUAUAUAUAUAUAUAUAUAUAUAUAUCAACACAUAUAUAUGUAUGUACAUAUACACCUGGUAUAUAUCUAUAGGAAUGAAAAAAUGCACUCGGUCUGCUGUAAUGAAACGAUUUCACGCUCGCAAGAUCGUACAUCGACCCUUCUAUAUUUGUUUUGCGGAUCGAUCCGAAUACCAGACGAUUUUAUCAGCCCCAUCGCGUUUUGAUUAUUGAGCAUAUCGUCCUUGAUAAUUCGUAAUCUAGCUGGGAGUAUCGGCUUCGAAGCAUUGUUCGAAAUCUAAUUAUUCUUCAUUAUUCCUUUGCAAAGUGGAUAUCCGUCGACGAAAAGAAAGGAUAAAGGGUUUCGUGACACGGAACGGAAUGGACGAUUGUUAAAAAAGAAAAUGGAUAUAUGUAUAUGUAGACUUAGACGAGAAUGAAAUAAUGUAUAUAAUAGAAAGAGAAAGAGAGAGAGGGAAAGAGAGAGAGAGAGAACAUUUACUUUGUCUGUACGUUAAUAUAACGAGAACAUUAAGUAUUCCUCUUUUUCUGACUAUUUAAAUCGUAUGAGAGAUUCUCGA